rnacentral:SRP_RNA from 1 species
GUCAGUGCUCAACGCUGCUCAGCUGGAGGGCAUGCGGCUCAGGGGCUCAGGGGCUGGGCUCCGCCUGAGGGCUGUGAGGCAGCAGCACCAAAGCAGCCCCUGGUAGCAGUGG